CACAGCUGAGCCCCUCCCACCUGUGCUGAGUUUCAGGUAGAGUCCCGCCUCCUUCCAGGAAGCAGCUCACCUGUGUGUCCGUGUUUAGUGUCCAGGUGUGGAGUGGAGCUUGUUGUUGGUGUGUGAAGAAACUACUGACUGAAGAUGAUGAUGGAGGAAGAGGAGGACAGAGCAGAGUCUGCAGGGUCCAGCUGUCCGUCUGUGAGGAGUGACCGGUCCAAAGAUCAACCUGUAAAGUUCAGUGCUGAACCUGGACCAACGAGAGGUCAGAGGUCACAGUCUGCAGGGUCCAGCUGUCCGUCUGUGAGGAGUGACCAGUCCAAAGGUGGAAAUCCAGACUUCAGUGAUGAACCUGGACCAACGAGGUCAGAGAGCUGUGAUGACUCCUUUACAUGUUUGUGUUUCCUGGAUAAAUAUGACCUGAAACAUCCUCAGAUUGUUACAAAGAUUCAUUAAAAAGAAAACAAUGAAAG